rnacentral:rRNA from 1 species
AUGCAAGUCGAACGAGGUUAGAUUCGUCUAACCUAGUGGCGAACGGGUGAGUAACACGUAGGUAACCUGCCCUUCAGUUGGGAAUACCUAGAGGAAACUUUAGUUAAUACCGAAUAAUUACGAGGAAGGCAUCUUCCUUUUAUAAAAGUAGCAAUUGCUACGCUGAUGGUUGGACCUGCGGCGCAUUAGCUAGUUGGUAGGGUAACGGCCUACCAAGGCUCGGAUGCGUAGCCGACCUGAGAGGGUGAUCGGCCACAAUGGGACUGAGACACGGCCCAUACUCCUACGGGAGGCAGCAGUAGGGAGUUUUCGGCAAUGGGGGGAACCCUGACCGAGCAACGCCGCGUGAACGAUGAAGGUCUUCGGAUCGUAAAGUUCUGUUGUAGCUAGGGAAAGCACGGGAGAGUGGAAGCUCUCGUUUUGACCCAACUACCAGAAAGCCACGGCUAACUACGUGCCAGCAGCCGCGGUAAUACGUAGGUGGCAAGCGUUAUCCGGAAUUAUUGGGCGUAAAGAGUGAGCAGGCGGCCGUUUAAGUCUGAAGUCAAAUGCAGUGGCUUAACCACUGUCCGCUUUGGAAACUGGAUGGCUAGAGUACGAGAGAAGUAAGCGGAAUUCCAUGUGUAGCGGUGAAAUGCGUAGAUAUAUGGAGGAACACCAGAGGCGAAGGCGGCUUACUAGAUCGAUACUGACGCUCAGUCACGAAAGCGUGGGUAGCAAAUAGGAUUAGAUACCCUAGUAGUCCACGCCGUAAACGAUGAGAACUAGGUGUAGGGCCAAACCCUGUGCCGAAGCUAACGCAUUAAGUUCUCCGCCUGGGGAGUACGUUCGCAAGAAUGAAACUUAAAGGAAUUGACGGGGGCCCGCACAGCAGUGGAGCAUGUGGUUUAAUUCGAUGAUACGCGAGGAACCUUACCCGGGGUUGAAAUGCUGAUGGCGGUAUUUGGAGACAGAUACUUCCCUUCGGGGCGUCAGUGAAGGUGCUGCAUGGUUGUCGUCAGCUCGUGCCGUGAGGUGUCGGCUUAAGUGCCAUAACGAGCGCAACCCUUGCCGUUAGUUGCCAUCGGGUCAUGCCGGGCACUCUAUUGGGACUGCCAUCGUAAGAUGUGAGGAAGGUGGGGAUGACGUCAAAUCAGCACGGCCCUUAUGUCCGGGGCGACACACGUGUUACAAUGGGGGGUACAGUGGGAAGCUACCUGGCGACAGGUUGCGGAUCCCCAAAUCCUUUCUCAGUUCGGAUCGGAGUCUGUAACUCGACUCCGUGAAGUUGGAUUCGCUAUAAUCGCGCAUCAG